AUGGGGAGGCCUCUGAUCUACGAGAUACUGGAGAAGCCGGCGAGCAGCGGCGUGAUAGCCCUCUGCUCCCUCAUCUGGUUCCUCAUCCAGAAGAGGGGCAUCGGGUACGCGGACGUGGGGCUGAGCUACGAGGCGGCCGUGGAGGGCGGGCAGCACUGGCGGCUCAUCACCGCCGCCUUCUCGCACGUCAGCGUGGUGCAUCUGGUGUUCAACAUGAGCGCGCUGUGGAGCCUCGGCGCCGUGGAGCAGGCAGCCGGGCUCGGCGUCCAGUACUACCUGCACUACACCCUUGUCCUCGUGGUGCUGUCCGGGCUGCUGGUUCUCGGGAUCUACCACGUGAUGAUCCGGAGGUUCAAGGUGGACUACUUCCGGAGGGUGACCGCCGUGGGCUACUCGUGCGUCGUGUUCGGGUGGAUGACCAUCCUCGCCGCAAAGCAGCCGUCGUCCAAGCUCAACCUCUUCGGGGUCCUCUCGCUGCCCAUCAGCUUCGCGCCCUUCGAGUCGCUCAUAUUCACAUCAAUCAUGGUUCCCCAGGCCAGCUUCAUCGGCCACCUGUCAGGGAUUAUUGUUGGUUACUCAAUUGCCUGGGGUUUGAUUCAUGGGAUGAAUAACUACUGGGCGGUCACAAUGCUCGGGUGGAUCGUGCUUGUCUUCGUCUUGAGCUUGAAGCGCACGGGGUCUUUGGAAAUGAGAUUUAUCGAGAUUGAGCCAGUUACGGACCCCUCGCUGCCGUCUGUCGGUGUGGUCGCCUCCAGAAAUGGUAGGGCUCUGCAAAUGGAUAUGCUGCCCGGAAGAGGGGUUGCGGAUUUUGUAUGA
rnacentral:rRNA from 1 species